AUACGUCCCACUGCUGGGCACAGGCCUCCCCUCAAUCAACCGGAGGGGGUAUGGAGCAUACUCCACCACGCUGCUCCACUGGCUUAACGUGCCCUCCGAAGCACGGAAUCAUCUUACUUUUUCAGACAAUCAGGUGAUUCAAGCCUGAAAAGUCCUUACCAAACAAAGGACAGUCUCACAAAGUGAUUUCGACCAUGUCCCCAUCGGGAAUCGAACCCGGACCUCCAGAUCGUGAGCCUGACGC